rnacentral:rRNA from 1 species
GUCUGUUUGAAGGUAUAAAAAGUUUAGCCUGCCCACUGAUAAUUGUUAUUAAAGGGCCGCGGUAUUCUGACUGUGCAAAGGUAGCAUAAUCGUUAGUUUUUUAAUUGGAAUCUUGUAUGAAUGGUUUGACAAAAAAAAAUCUGUCUUUAUAAUUAUUUAUUGAAUUUAACUUUUAAGUGAAAAGGCUUAAAUAAAUUAAAAAGACGAUAAGACCCUAUAAAGCUUAAUAUUAAUUUUUUGUUAUAAUUAAAUUUUAAAAUUAUAUAAAGGUUUAUUAAAAAAGUUUAUUUUGUUGGGGUGACAAUGGUAAAAUAAUUAUUAACUGUUAAUUUUUUUUUAGACAAAGAUAAAUGAGUAWAAAUAUAAAAAAUAAUUUAUUUAUAAAUGAUCCUAUAUUAAAGAUUAUAAGUUUAAGUUACUUUAGGGAUAACAGCGUUAUUUUUUUUGAGAGUUCUUAUCGAGAAAAAAGUUUGCGACCUCGAUGUUGAAUUAAAAUAUCUAUAUAAUUGUAGCAGUUAUAUAAGAAGGUCUGUUCGACCUUUAAAUUUUUACAUGAUUUGAGUUCAGACCGGCGUAAGCCAGGUCGGUUUCUAUCUUUUAAAUAUUUAAAAAUUAUUUUAGUACGAAAGGAUUAAAUAAUUAGAAUUAUUUUUGAUAAUUAAAUAAG